GAAAGCAUGGGUAGCGAAGAGGAUUAGAUACCCUCGUAGUCCAUGCCGUAAACGAUGUGUGUUAGACGUUGGAAAUUUAUUUUCAGUGUCGCAGGGAAACCGAUAAACACACCGCCUGGGGAGUACGACCGCAAGGUUAAAACUCAAAUGAAUUGACGGGGACCCGCACAAGUAGUGGAGCAUGUGGUUUAAUUCGAAGAUACGCGCAGAACCUUACCAACACUUGACAUGUUCGUCGCGACUCUAAGAGAUUAGAGUUUUCGGUUCGGCCGGACGAAACACAGGUGCUGCAUGGCUGUCGUCAGCUCGUGUCGUGAGAUGUUGGGUUAAGUCCCGCAACGAGCGCAACCCUCACUUUUAGUUGCCAUCAUUAAGUUGGGCACUCUGAAAGAACUGCCAGUGAUAAGCUGGAGGAAGGUGGGGAUGACGUCAAGUCCUCAUGGCCCUUACGUGUUGGGCUACACACGUGCUACAAUGGUAUCUACAACAGGAAGCAAGACUGCGAAGUUAAGCAAAUCCCUAAAAGAUACCUCAGUUCGGAUUGCACUCUGCAACUCGAGUGCAUGAAGCUGGAAUUACUAGUAAUCGUGGAUCAGCGUGCCACGGUGAAUGCGUUCCCGGGUCUUGUACACACCGCCCGUCACACCAUGGGAGUUGGUUCUACCUUAAGGCAAGGUUUCAAACCCUUGACCACGGUAUAGUCAGCGACUGGGGUGAAGUCGUAACAAGGUAGCCGUAGGGGAACCUGCGGCUG
rnacentral:rRNA from 1 species